UACGAAGGGGGCUAGCGUUGUCCGGAAUCACUGGGCGUAAAGGGCGCGUAGGUGGCAGCAGGAAGUCAACGGUGAAAGUUCGGGGCUCAACCCUGAAUCGGCCGUCGAUACUCCUGGGCUCGAGCACUGUAGAGGCAGAUGGAAUUCCGGGUGUAGCGGUGGAAUGCGUAGAGAUCCGGAAGAACACCGGUGGCGAAGGCGGUCUGCUGGGCGAGUAGCUGACACUGAGGCGCGACAGCGUGGGGAGCAAACAGG
rnacentral:rRNA from 1 species